rnacentral:rRNA from 1 species
GCCAGACUCCUACGGGAGGCAGCAGUGGGGGAUAUUGCACAAUGGGGGAAACCCUGAUGCAGCGAUGCCGCGUGAGUGAAGACGGCCUUCGGGUUGUAAAGCCCUGUCGCAGAGGACGAAAAUGACGGUACUCUGCAAGAAAGCCACGGCUAACUACGUGCCAGCAGCCGCGGUAAUACGUAGGUGGCAAGCGUUAUCCGGAUUUACUGGGUGUAAAGGGCGAGUAGGCGGGAUUGCAAGUCAGAUGUGAAAACUAUGGGCUCAACCGAUAGAGUGCAUUUGAAACUGCAGUUCUUGAGUGAUGGAGAGGCAGGCGGAAUUCCCGGUGUAGCGGUGGAAUGCGUAGAUAUCGGGAGGAACACCAGUGGCGAAGGCGGCCUGCUGGACAUUAACUGACGCCGAGGCGCGAAAGCGUGGGGAGCAAACAGGAUUAGAUACCCCGGUAAC